rnacentral:misc_RNA from 1 species
GAUGAAGAACGUAGCGAAAUGCGAUAAGUAAUGUGAAUUGCAGAAUUCAGUGAAUCAUCUAGUCUUUGAACGCACAUUGCGCCCCCUGGUAUUCCGGGGGGCAUGCCUGUCCGAGCGUCAUUGCUGCCCUCAAGCACGGCUUGUGUGUUGGGCCUCCGUCCUCCUCCCGGGGGACGGGCCCGAAAGGCAGCGGCGGCACCGCGUCCGGUCCUCGAGCGUAUGGGGCUUCGUCACCCGCUCUUGUAGGCCCGGCCGGCGCUUGCCGACACAUCAAUCUUUUUUCCAGGUUGACCUCGGAUCAGGUAGGGAUACCCGCUGAACUUAAGCAUAUCAAUAAGCGGAGGA